rnacentral:rRNA from 1 species
AUACGUAGGGGGCAAGCGUUAUCCGGAAUCACUGGGCGUAAAGGGAGCGUAGGCGGUUUGACAAGCCAGAGGUGAAAGGCAAUAGCUUAACUAUUGUAAGCCUUUGGAACUGUCGAACUUGAGUGCAGGAGAGGAAAGUGGAAUUCCUAGUGUAGCGGUGAAAUGCGUAGAUAUUAGGAGGAACACCAGUGGCGAAGGCGACUUUCUGGACUGUAACUGACGCUGAGGCUCGAAAGCGUGGGGAGC